GCCGGCGACGCAUCAUUCAAAUUUCUGCCCUAUCAACUUUCGAUGGUAGGAUAGGGGCCUACCAUGGUGGUGACGGGUGACGGAGAAUUAGGGUUCGAUCCA
rnacentral:ncRNA from 1 species